rnacentral:lncRNA from 1 species
CCCAGCCCAUUUUAACCAUUUUUAAGUGCACGAUUCAGUGGCUUUAAGUACAUUCACAUUUUAUGUCACUGUCAUCACCACCAUCCAUCUUCAGAGCUCUUUUCAUCUUGCAAAACUGCAACUGUACUUAUAAAAAAUAACUCCCAUUCCUCCCUCUCUCCAGCCCCUGGCAACCACCAUCCUACUUUCUGUCUCUGUGAAUUUGACCACCCCCGCGACCUCCUACAAAUGGAAUCAUCCAGUAUUCGUCUUUUUGCGACUGGCUUAUUUCACUUAGCACGGCAUCCUCAAGGUUCAGCCACGCAGUGAAGAGGCGGCGGGCUUCGGUUAUCAGCAAGAAGAAGGGAGAGAGGGACUACAAACAUCUUAGAACAGUGGAAGACGGGAGGAGGCUCUCGCCGUCCUUGAGAAUAUCAAUUCCAAAACGAUUCUAUUCCACCACAUAAAGGAGCCAGG